AGUCGCCGAGGAUGGUGUCAUGGCGCCCCGAACCCUGCUUCUGCUGCUCUCGGGGGCCCUGGUCCUGACCCAGACCUGGGCAGGCUUCCACUCCUUGAGGUAUUUCCACACCACCAUGUCCCGGCCCGGCCGCGCGGAUCCCCGCUUCCUCUCCGUGGGCGACGUGGACGACACGCAGUGCGUGCGGCUCGACAGCGACGCCACGAGUCCCAGGAUGGAGCCGGAGGGGCCGGAAUAUUGGGAAGAGGAGACAGGGACCGCCAAGGCCAAAGCACAGUUUUACCGAGUGAACCUGCGGACCCUGAGCGGCUACUACAACCAGAGUGAGGCCUGGGCUGCCAGCCACACAGAGUCAUGGACAGGUCUCUACAGACACAACUUAGUGCCAGCUUGGAUGAAACCCUCUGAGGAAUGGCUGCCAUCUUUCAGGAUGUGGUGCAUGUAUUGAAUCAAAGAUGUCUCUAUAGUGCUGUGUUUACAGAAGGAAGAAUACGUGGGUCCAAAAACCAAGAAGUAGAAGCAGGUGUGGCUCCAUAUCUAAACCCUUAUAUUCACCUUCAGGGUGAUUUUGCACUUCUCAUCUCCAAUAUCUGGGCUCUGUAGGGGAGGAGGUCCUGGUUUCCCAAAGGGGGCACCCUGGCAAGGAGACAUUUAAAUGAGAGUCCAUGGAACUACACCUUAUGGCUGCCCCCAGGGAUGUUUGAAUAGUAUGUGUCCAGACACAAGAAGGUGAGAAGAGGAGGAGGCAGGGCUGCUAUCACACAAGGAGGGCAGGAGAUGUGUGUGUGGAAAUAAGAGAUCCACUUGGAGACCUUAUGGUUCCCCUUGUCCUGUUGUAAGUGUGAGCAGAAUCAUCCAGCAACCCAGCCUGAGAGGGUUUCAUAUUCAAGAGCCCAGAACCCUCAGGAAGGAAGGAUUGAGCGAUACUCAUAGGUAAUGUCCCAAGGCUGUGCUCCUGUGCUCUGACAUCCUCAGCAGGAUUGGUGCAAAGCCCUGCUUCCCAUGGGCUGUUCCCAGCCAGUGACUGGUCACAGCAGGCGUUAAGGCAAGCCAUUCCUGGGAGACACGGGACUCCUCUGAUGGCCAACUGUAGCUGGAAGGCUCCUCCACGGCCUUGCUCAACUCUCCUUAGAUUGCCUGUGCUCUAGGAUGCGUCGAACAAACUUUCUCUCCUUCUGUCCAGCACUUGGGGUCACACUUGCAUCGUGGUCUGCCGCCUUUUCCAGGGAUUUCUGGCUCACUUCCCAUAUUCCCUUACGGGUGUGUCCCCUCAUAAGAUGUCGCAGACUUUAAGCUCAUCUUGGCAUCUGCUCCUUGAAGGACUUGGACUAAAAAUUAUUUCCAUCUGCAUAUCAAUAACUCUUAUUCCAACCUGUAAAAUCCUUCUCUUUAUCCAACUUCUGCCACCCCCACAGAAUCUAUUUUACUUGUGUGUGUAGUAUCUCUUUGAGUUAACAGAUAUUUGUUCUAUUAAGCUACUAAAUUUUGAGGUAGUUUGUGACACAGCACUAGAUAACUAUUAAGGCUUUCUUAAGUUUCCAUUUUCCAUGGAUAUUAUCUACAUAUCUUUUAAUCCCUUGCAUUUUAAUAACAUUAGCUAUACUUGCUGUUUCCAACUCUUUCCUCCUAUUUUUGAACAUUUUCAAAUUUUGUCUUUCUCUGUCCUUCCUUCCUUCUUUCCUCCUUUCCUCCCUCAGAGCUUUCUCCCUCCCUCCAUUUUUUUUCAUAAACUCCAAGUGUUUAGGCCAAAAGGAAGCAUUAUUUGAACUUUAUGCUAAAAGUAUAAUGCCGUAAUUUAUAAUAUAAAAGUAAAGAAAAGGAAGUUGUUAAUGGAAUAUGAAAAAAUGCCUAGGGUGAUUCUAUAGCCAAGACAGUACCUUUUAACAUUUAAUUUCUGUCUCCAACUGAAUGUUUUCAGAACACAUGAGCAACACAAGCUCUUUCCCAUUCUUGGUACAAGCACUUGAGAAAUCAAAUUAGCCUUAUCUAGUAUGAUUAAUGUCCAUACAUCAUAUAAUCCCACCAUCUGCCUCCUGAUCAUACCCCCUGGGGACAUUCUUGGCUAUGUGUCCAGGAGACAUGUACACCAAUGUUUAUGGCAAAAACUAGAAACAAUCACAUAUACAUCAAUGGGAAUUAACAAAAUUGUCGUAUAAUAAUAAAAAGUAAAACUUCAGCAGCAACAGUGAAUGAACAGCACCCUCCCACAUCAGAGAUAACUCUCCUACACAUAACAUGCAUCAGCAUCACAGAAGAAUGCACAUUGUGUGAGUUCUCUGUACGGGGAAGUUUAAAAAAGCAGGUCAAACUGUGAUUUGGAUAUAUAUAUACUUAUUGUAAAAAUCUUUAGAGACAAUGAAAAGGAAUAGUAAAUACAAGACUCAAGAUAGAAGUUCCUUUUGGGGAAUAGAAUUGGACAACAGCCGAGGGUGGCUUCAUAGGUUUUGUUUUUUAUGCCAGGAGGGGAUGUCCAGGUAGUUAAGUUACUUGAUCAUAAAUCUUUAUUUAUUUAUUUAUUUAUUUAUUUUCGAGAUGGAGUCUCCCUCUUGUUGCCCAGGCUGGAGUGCAGUGGCGUGAUCUCAGUUCACUGCAACCUCCGCCUCCCAGGUUCAAGCAAUUCUCCUACCUCAGCCUCCUGAGUAGCUGGAAUUAUAGGCAUCCACCACGACACCCAGGUAAUUUUUGUAUUUUUAGUAGAGACGGGGUUUCACCAUAUUGUCCAGGUUGGUCUCAAACUCCUGACCUCAGGUGAUCCACCAACUUCGGCCUUCCAAAGUGCUGGGAUUACAGACAUGAGCCACCAUUCCCGGCCCACAAAUCUUUAAAGUGUCAUUUUUCAAAAUGCACCUUGUGUGCCAUUCCUGACUGAUUAUUUGGAAAUGAAAGAGAAAAGAAAAUACCAAAGUUCAUCUCAAGGAUCCUUAGCAAUAACUACACACGUUAAAACAAAGCCACAGCCAAUUGUAAAGAGUCAUGUGACAGAGAGGACCAGGAUCUCAUGAAAAAUAGCCUUGGCUAGAAAGAGGUCAUUUGACCCUGGGCUAAUUGGCAACUCUCUACAUUGUCUGGCAUACAGUGUUCAAUCUGAUGUGCAAGGCAAUUGUAUCUUGCAAAGAAUUUGAGAAUUUGAUAUGUUGCUCACAUUUUACCACACAUACAAGUGGAUUAAACUUUUACACAGUAAAAAAAAAAGCAUUGUUGAGCAAAAUAAAUUAAAUGAAAAGACAUAAAGGAAUAACUAGUGAUGAAAUAGCAAUAAGAAUGGAAAACAUGAAAGAGAUGCUUGUACAGCAAUGAUAGCAGCACAAAAGAACAGUGUUUUUCAGAAUCAUACUGGAGUCCAAAUCACUUCUACUACAUCUAAUUUAAAAACACAGUGAAAGAUGUUAAACUUUCAUAGGAUGCCCACUGAAUAGCCAGUUAUUGAAAAAUCUUGUUCCUAGAUUGGAGUAAACAAUUUCUGCCUACCCUAGCCAAACAAAUUAUUGUCAUGAUGCUAAGCUAGUGUAUAGACAGAGGUGUGAGAUUCACAUUUUUCUAGCUGCAAAGCACCCUGAUUAGGCAAAUAUUUUUGUAGAUGCUUGAGUAAGAAAAUUGGCAUUUUGGGCAUUCUUAAACCGAAUUAGAAACUUCUGAAGAGAAACAAACAUAGUUACGAUUGUAAAGGCAUUAUUGUAUGGCACCAAAGUCUUGGGACACUUUAAUUUAGCUACUGUAUUUUCUCAACUCUGUUGCAACUUAUCAAAGAGAACAUUAAUAUUAAAGGCAUUUACAAAAAAAAUCUGAGAUAUUGUUGUAUCUUCUUUCUCUGUCUCAAAUAUUUAAUCAACUUUACAGAAGAGAAUUUUAAAGUAUUAAAAAAAGUCAGAUACAAGAAGUAUUUGAUUUACAAAACCCUGAAACAAUAAUGUUAAUUUUGCUUUUAACAUGUUUAUAAAUUCUUUGAUACUCCUCCUUUCCAGAAGUGCAGCUUCAUUCCCUCCCUGUUCGUGUAGCCUGGACUUAAUGACUCACUUCUAACUGAUAGAGUAAUGCUGACUUAAUAGUUUGUGAUUCUGGGUGUAGAACAUAAGACUCACUGAAGUUUCUACUUUGGUUCUUUCUUUCUCUGGAAUCAUGAGCCCUGGGGGAAGCUGGCUGUUGUGUCAUAAGGAGGCCUGUGGUCCAUGUGACUAGGAAGUGAGUCCUCCUGGGACCAGACAAUAAGAAGCUAAAGCCUCUUCCAAAAGCCAUGUGAGAGAUUCUUGUGUCUUGUGAAUCCCUGGCCCCAUUUGAGCCCUCAGGUGAUUCAGCCCUGGAAGACAACUAGACUGCAACUUUGUGAGAGGCCCUGAGCCAGAAGCAUUCAGAGAAACUUCUCCUGGAUUCCUGACCAUGGAUAACUGUGGGAGAUGAUAAAUAUUUGUUGAUUUGAGCUGCUAAGUUGUAGGUGACUUGUUAUGCAGCAGUAGAUAACUAAUACAGCUUCACAAGAGAGGAUGAAUCACUGAACUUUUUCAUUUGCUCUAAAUUCAUUAUAAGAUAUUAAACAUGUCAUUUGCUUUUAAUAUUUAAUAAAAAUUUCCAUGGCUAUAUAAGAUAU
ensembl:lncRNA HLA-V major histocompatibility complex, class I, V (pseudogene)